rnacentral:rRNA from 1 species
CAGUCGCCGCGGGAAUACGAAGGUCCCGAGCGUUGUUCGGAAUCACUGGGCGUAAAGGGAGCGUAGGCGGCGUGGUAAGUCAGAUGUGAAAUCCCGGGGCUCAACCCCGGAACUGCAUCCGAUACUGCCGUGCUAGAGGAUUGGAGAGGUAGCUGGAAUUCUUGGUGUAGCAGUGAAAUGCGUGGAGACCAAGAGGAACACUCGUGGUGAAAGCGAGCUACUGGACAAUAUCUGACGCUGAGGCUCGAAGGCCAGGGUAGCGAAAGGGAUUAGAUACCCGUGUAGUCCCUGUCUCUUAUAC